GUACUUCCAAAGUACACAUACUAAAAUUGAAAUGAUACAGAGAAGAUUAGCAUGGCCCCUGCGCGAGGAUGACACGCAAAAUCGUGAAGCGUUCCACAUUUUU
rnacentral:snRNA from 1 species